UAUACUGGUCGCCAGAUGGCCUGGUAUGAUGGUAGGGGGAUGUGAGGACCUAAUACCUGGUCAAGACCUCUGCACAGCCCCAGCAGUAUACUGGUCGCCAGAUGGCCUGGUAUGAUGGUAGGGGGAUGUGAGGACCUAAUACCUGGUCAAGUCUUAUUGGUUGUCUGGUUUUGCAAGGUUUGAAAUUAGCCCGCGCUUUGCUUUGUAUGGACCCCGCUUUUUGCUUGGUUUAAAAUGAUUGUAUUCCGCGUUUUUUGUAAUAUGUAAUUGGACAUAGAUUGUAAGAUGGAGUGGACCCCCUCCUCAAGUGUGUUCUGAAUUUCUAUAAAUUGUGUGGUUUGAGCCCUGUUCAGGGUCGAGCUUGGUAGACUAACACCAGUCACCAUCUCGGCCCGGAUUACAAUUCGUCGAUAAACAUCUUU